GCCCGCUCCCACUGGCCCAGGAAGCUGUCGAGCCUGCCGCCCAGGCCGCCGAGCAGCCGCAGGGCCUCCUGCACGGCCCCCUCCUCCUGAUGCCAUCGGGCGGUCAGCGAGGACACCUCCCUCCUGCAGUGGCAGCGAAUGCAAAGUUGACAGCUGAAGUCAGAGCAGCUGCCUUGGACCAUCUGAUAGAGGACACACGAUAGAAAUCUGAAUCCUGAACACUGUGGAACCACCAUACUCAAUUAUAACCCUUGUGAAGACUUACAUGCUAGGGAUAGCAUUUCCCAUCUUGUUUAAGCUAUGCUAUUUUGUGUCUGUUAACAACAGCCAAAUUUGUGACUUAAUAGCUGAGCCAACCAGUAACCUGCUGUAUUGGAAAAACAGACCUUCUCUACCUGUUAAGGCUUUUAUGUAAGAAAUAAACUAUCCUGCUUAAACCAGU